AUACGGAGGCGGCUAGCGUUGUUCGGAAUUACUGGGCGUAAAGCGCACGUAGGCGGCUUUGUAAGUCAGAGGUGAAAGCCUGGAGCUCAACUCCAGAACUGCCUUUGAGACUGCAUCGCUUGAAUCCAGGAGAGGUCAGUGGAAUUCCGAGUGUAGAGGUGAAAUUCGUAGAUAUUCGGAAGAACACCAGUGGCGAAGGCGGCUGACUGGACUGGUAUUGACGCUGAGGUGCGAAAGCGUGGGGAGCAAACAGGAUUAGAAACCCCAGUAGUCC
rnacentral:rRNA from 1 species